GACGAACGCUGGCGGCGUGCUUAACACAUGCAAGUCGAACGAUGAACCCGGAGCUUGCUUCGGUGGAUUAGUGGCGAACGGGUGAGUAACACGUGAGUAACCUGCCCUUGACUCUGGGAUAACUGCGGGAAACUGUAGCUAAUACCGGAUACGACCCUCGGCGGCAUCGCCAGGGGGUGGAAAGAAUUUCGGUCAAGGAUGGACUCGCGGCCUAUCAGCUAGUUGGUGAGGUAACGGCUCACCAAGGCAACGACGGGUAGCCGGCCUGAGAGGGUGACCGGCCACACUGGGACUGAGACACGGCCCAGACUCCUACGGGAGGCAGCAGUGGGGAAUAUUGCACAAUGGGCGCAAGCCUGAUGCAGCAACGCCGCGUGAGGGAUGACGGCCUUCGGGUUGUAAACCUCUUUUAGUAGGGAAGAAGCGAAAGUGACGGUACCUGCAGAAAAAGCACCGGCUAACUACGUGCCAGCAGCCGCAGUAA
rnacentral:rRNA from 1 species